UACGUAGGUGGCAAGCGUUGUCCGGAAUUAUUGGGCGUAAAGCGCGCGCAGGCGGCCUUUUAAGUCUGAUGUGAAAGCCCACGGCUCAACCGUGGAAGGUCAUUGGAAACUGAAAGGCUUGAGUACAGAAGAGGAAAGCGGAAUUCCACGUGUAGCGGUGAAAUGCGUAGAGAUGUGGAGGAACACCAGUGGCGAAGGCGACUCCUGGCCUGUUCUUGACGCUGAGGCGCGAAAGCAUGGGGAGCAAACGGG
rnacentral:rRNA from 1 species